GGGUGGGAUCAUACCAGAGUUAAUGCACCAGAUCCCAUUAGAACUAUGAAGUUAAGCACGCUUGGUCUAUAGUAGUAC
rnacentral:rRNA from 1 species